rnacentral:lncRNA from 1 species
CUAAUCGUACAGCAGAACUCAGAUUGGUUUUUUAGAAACUCAAUCUCAGUUGUCCAUCAGAGUACUUCUAGUAUUAAACCUUCUUAGUAUAUAAGAAAGAAAUCCUUGCCCAUGCUACCAUUUCCUGAUUGAGAUGACCUAAAAAACAUCUGUUGCUUAUCCAUGCCUUGGGUACAGAGCAGUGUAGGUAAAAGCUUCCCUGCUGAUGUGCCCAGCCUGGUUCAUAAGGAUAUUCUUUGAAGGAUCAGCAUGGAUUCAUCAAAAUGGAAGGUUGCACUCUGAAAGAUGUCUAUGUGCGCCCUUCCCAAGCACUCAGAGGAGAAAGCACAGCCCAUCAAGGCUCAAGAACUUCAGCCUUCCUGGGUCCAGAGAUCAACUGCGGAAGAAGAAAUAUGAACGUCUUCUCCUGAGAGGCAGGCUUAAAUACCGUCUGGAAUUAGUUCAUUAGUUCAUAUUCCAACAAUCGGGUCAGACUGUAAUGACAAGGCCCAGUAACUUCCAGUCAUAAUCACAAAUUCAGUGCCACGCAGACAUGGCUAGAAAUAAAACAGGCUGUUUUGCUACUCAGCUUUCUGGGAAAUGUACUUCUAAUCUGCCCAGCAGAAAGUCAUUUCAAGCCACUUAGGCUUGACAAUUCUCAGUGUGGCUCAGAUUUAGAUCUGGCCAGACUUUAAAAUGCUGCAAACACAAAAUGGGUGAUAGACCUCCAGCAAUACUAUGGUUUCACCUUCUUGAUAGUUUUUCAAAACGGACUGGUAACCAAAAUACAAACACUUCUGAAUAUUUAGCCCUUCCUUCUGUCCAUCAUGCUGAGGUUAAACCAUCCCAAGACAAGGACCUUGGAAGAAGAUCCCUCAUACUUCAUCUUGCCCUGUGCUCUUAACUCAAGGCAGGAUCUCCUUUGCCUUUGCUGGGAAAUGGCUUUCCUAAACAUCAUGACUAUGGCUAGACUGUUGAGUCAUCCUGCAAUAAUUGUUUUAAUGACAAUUAAAAAGCCUUACUUCUGAUCAUUUAAAAGAACAUUAAAUUUCAGCCCUAAGGCAAUGAACUACUGGCAAAAGAGGAGCAGUUUCAAUGAAUUCAAGGAUUUCCUUGUCUCUCUCUCUCUUUUCCUCUCUCUCUCUCUCUCUCUCAUUUUUGCCAGCUAACAUCAGACAAACAGGGCUUGCAGGGAGAAGUAAUAUACUUCAUUAAACCAAAUGAUGCUGCUAGGAGAAGCAGACAAGCUUUCAGACACAUAGUUCCUUCAGGUCAAACAUCAGGUCAAUAAUUUUGAAAAUACUGCAAAAGCAUACUUAUCUCCAGUCAUAGCAAAUGCACUUUUGAGCUUUACCAAUGCUUAUUAAACCGUUAACAUUUUGGUUUGGGAAUGGAUGCAAGCUCUGCGCAGCGCUGGAGCAGAAGACUUCUCCAUUAGAGUUUACAGAUGAAAGAGAGCAGAAUCUAAAAAACACUCCCCGGUCUGUGCAGCAAAUGCCCAUUCUGUACAGUGCAAUGCAAAUAUUUUCCCUUCCAGGAUUUCAAAAUAUUUUAUUUGAAGUCAUUGAAUUACUCAAAGGAUAUUUUAAUUUUAAUUUUUCUUCAUGCCUGAAGAAAUGGAAUGUGGAAACAUCUUCUCCAUGCUAAUCCUUCACCCAUCCAUUACUGUCACAGUCAUUCCAGUCCAUUUUCAAGACUGUUUGGAAAAUCCUACAUUGUACCUUACCUCUCUCAUCUUUCUGGAGCUGCUUUAUUAUUCUGUCAUAACGAAACAUAGAUGAAGAAAUUACAAGUCUUCAUUCUCUUUUGGCACUUCCAUUUGAAAAAGGAGAAAGAGAAGUUCAGGUGUUCACUUCAAGGACAACAUGAAGUCUGAUCACACUCCCCUUCCUCCUGCCAGGUUUCAUCACACUUUCAGGGUAUUUUGGAAGGCAGAAAGUGCCUCACUGUGCUUUGUGACUUUGGGUGCAGCAUUUCAACAGCUGUUCCAGUUUGCUUUAGAGAGAACAAAGAUGCUACAAAAUUCUGAUUUUCUCAACUCCCUGAGGCUCUGUUAUGAAGUAUUUAGCAAGUGACAACGAUCCCAUUUGUGACAUUCUUAUUUCUAAGUUAGCAGUGAUAAUCCCACAUGGUUUUAAAAGGGAUCCUGACAUACCAAAAGCUCUGUCUUUUAGGUGAAAUAUAGAAACCCAAUCCUUCUGUUCUCAGCAAUUACAAGUUCCUACACAAACCAGUUGUUAAGGUUGGUGUCCUGGCCAAACUCCAGCCUGUCAUUCUGACUCCUCACUCUUCUCCCACCCUUCCUCCUUCUACCCGAGGGCAGAUAUGGCAGGAAAAGAAGCAGCACACAAAUGCACACUGUCUCAAAGGUGUGCAAUGCAGCACUGGGCUUGGAAAGCCCCACGGUAUUUACACCAUACUGAAUGCAGGAAAAUAAAAGGUGAUCUACACAAGCCAUUAAAUCCUUAUUUGGAAGCUUUAUAGGACUAAAAAUACCAUAUAUAUACAUUGUACAAUGAAAUAUAAAUACACAACACUGAACAUAAACUGUAUAUAAACACUGUAGUUCACUAUGAAAAAAUACCUGUGAAUUAAGCACCUGACUUCAAGUGUAUCUGAAUAUACAACAACAGAGCUGCUGCAGGCUGGCUCGACUUCCAUAUGUGCAAGUACUUUCUGUAUAUAUGUUAACGCUCAUAUAGCAAAGUAAAGCAUGGUUUACAAGUAAUAAAAAAGACAGAAUAUCCUACAAAAAGUUAUUUUUAACAGCAAAAUGCAAAGAACUUAAAGACAGAUAGUACACAGAUUUAAAGAAUUGUUAUAAAUUAUUGUGGGGAACUUGGAAAAAUAAACUGACCAGCCAUUUGAAACUGUGUAGUUCUAACAGGUUAUUUUGGGUCCUAGUACUUUAAUAUUAAUAAGAGAAUUAACAUAAAUGUAAAAAUAGCACAAGCAGUAGCCUGCUGACCUGGUAAUGCACUGUAGCAAAGAACUGAGUGGAGAAUCUUAUUGCCAUCAGCAUAACUGCCCAAAGGAUAGCAGCAACCAACCAAACAUCACAUCAUGGGAAUAAUCAUGAACAUCUGAAAUUUUCAGUGGCUUCCGCACUGGGUUAUGUUUUAAGCUGUAAUGCACUGUAAUCCUCUUCACAUGCACACAAACGAACAAGUACCAAAACCCCAGACAAACUUGUCUGUCUCAAACCUUUGUCUAUUUGGGGUGCAGGGGAAGAAGAGAGAGUAGAGCACAAUUCCUACAUAUUCUGUACGAACUCCAUUGAAACCCCAGGCAAGAAACAUUUAUAUUCCUGUGGCAGAAACCUCGCAGCAUAACCAAGUGAAUCACAAAUAGGUUAAAACCCAUUUUGCUGACUUGCGGAGCCCUCUGAAGACAGGAGGCUGAAACUGUGUGUGUGCAAUCAGUAACCCGGAACAGGAGUCCCUGUGUAGCAGUGGCUUCACAUGUGGAAGGUGGCAGUGGUGUGACAGCAUACACCAACAUACUCAUUUAAUUAGCAUUAGGCUUAGUGCUGCCCUCUGAUAAAUGUACAGCAGUUGGUAAAAGGUCUUUGCUUGCAUCCUCCUAACACAGUCAAUUCAAUCUACCACAAACUUGUGGCAGCCAAAAGCAGCCACAACUGCUCAGCCCCAUUGGCAGUCCUUGGCCAGCAUUUCUGCUCAGUGUGGGAACCUGAAUUAGGCAACUGAACAAGCUGGAAACAACCCUCCUGCUUCCGCUGUUGGGCCAGUUUUCAGACGUAUCUGAAGCCAGCUCAACAUAACCUACGUGAUGGAAGCCAGCUUAGUGCAAGGACAAGGGAGGUGGCAGGAGUGAGCAGGCAGGGACACUGCCAGCCCUUGGGGAAGGUGCUCAGGAUCCCAGUCAAGUGCUGAGUUAGAGACCUGAAGCAGAGAAGUUUGCUGACAUCAUGAUGUAAGUCACUGUGUAUGCCCUUUUGCUUUUCUGCAAGCUUGUUACAGUUUUCCUUGUUUUCUCUCAAGGAAGGUUCACUGACUAGUCAAAAGAAGACAUUGUUGGCUCACCCAUGGGUGCAUUUAUCACAGCAGUACAGCUAGCUGGUGUUCCUUUGCCAUGUAGACCUCAGUCUUAACUCAGAGAAUUGAUGAAUGCCUUCUUUACUAGAACUCUAUUCUUUCUUAAGCACAUGAACUUGUACAGCAGAAUUGUAUCUUAUUUUUAUUACUCCACACCUCAAAGUCAUUAAAUUCAUCUCAUAUAACACUCUAAUCUUACUCUUUAUUGACUAUGCCAUCUAAAAUUCUGUAAAUGGCAAAUUUCAUUAGUAGACAUAACUUUUCACAGUGUUGCACAGUUUAAACACUAAAUACGAUCAGGCCUAAGUAGGAGCUAAGUAGGAUACUCCAGAUGUAAUCUCCCCCAUUGUUUUGAAUCUGAAACUUGAGACUAAACCAAAUCUAACGUACUAAAACACAGGUAACCUACUCAAAUAAUCUAUGGAAUGCACUUUACACACAGAACCAAACUGUAAGGCAGGAAACAGCAAAUGUGGAUUUGCUUCAUGCUCUGUUUUUCCCCCCAAUAAAUAAGUAUAGGCUCCCAACAAGUUGUUAGGCCUUUUCUCAUAUUUAGAGUGCUCAUCUAGAGGCAGACUAGAGGUAAUGUCCAUUGAUUGUUCACACUUGGUGCUGGCUUGAACUGAUCACCUCUUUAAUUAACCACAUAAAACUAGCGGCCUAAAGGUUAUGGUGUUUUGCCCCCCACCUGUAGGGUUCCUCUUCACUGAGAAGUUAUUCCGUUAAAGUUAUAGUGAGAAGAAACCAAUAGCGGAAAUGAUAAAGGAUAUCCCUCUGCUCCAUUUGAAAGAACUGUUGCAAAAAACUUCACAACAAAAAAGAUUUCAAUAAAAUAACAUUUUUUUUCCCUUUGAUGCCUAGGGAAAAGAAAGCAGAAUAUAUUUAUUUUCACUAUAUUUAAAAUGUCUUUUGUAAUAGAAAAAUGAAAAUUACAAGGCAAUGGCACACUACCACAGAGGACAUAGUGUAUUCACCAGCAGUAAUAUUGUAGUCCUCUGAUCUGCCGUAUCCAUGGUUUCAUCUUUGAAAAUGUGAGCAUAAACAUCAUGCGGAUGGGAAAAAGUCAGAAACAAAUAAAGGUUUACUUGGAUUGUGGAUAGAUGGGCUAUAUCCUUAUAGAAUCAGUGUAGAUUUAUUACCCAAAAAGACCUUCUGAAAAAUCUCACCUAUAUAUUAAGAAUGCAGAGGCCACUGUGGAGAUCUGCAAAAUUUUGUCAGGUCAGUACUAGUGGCAUCGCCAUUAUCUCCUUUAAUGAGUCUUGUAAAUGACAAAGUGUCAAACAAUUAACACAUUUCCCCCCUAGUCUUGCACUUUGGAUAACACAUACUCCCCACAAGUGGGAAAGAAUCUAUUUUGGCUUACUUUCAAUUUGUGCAACAAGGGCACAAAUCUAGCCUCAAGAGCAGUGAGUCUGGUAUAUCAUUACUGUUUUCUGCAGGUACGUACACACAUUUAAAAGACAGGAAGGCUUCGGUCUGAGCUCACAAAAUUACUAAUGAUGAAGCAAAAAUUACUGUUGGCAAAUAGGCACUUUGCAUAAUGUGUGAAAUAUUUUAGCACCUUUAAAAAGUCAUGUCAAGUGAUAGGAAAAUACUCUUCCUCCUUGCCUUUGUCUGAAUAAAAACAAAAAUGAGAAACCUUAAUAGCUCUAGUUGAAUUUAUAUAUUCUUUAGUGUUUAACUUCAGAUGCAGUCAUCAUCGUUUUUGGCUGAUAGUACAGGACAAGCAAUAUAUGGGUGAUUUAAGAGCUGGAAUUAAUAGAUAUAAGCAAAGACCUCUAAAAAUUCAAUGCAACAGAUCUGAAGUCAUGUUCUCAUUCUGUGUGUACAAAAUUACUCAGAAAGUAAUUUAGCUCCUCCUAAUAAUGUUUCCUUUUGUGCAACACAACUUGAAGCAAGGCACAACAUCCCAGCUUCUCUCACUGAAAAAGAAAGUUUGGCCUGCCAGCAAAUGCAAACUCAAAUGCAAUGUGCCAGAUCUGAACAGCUGUAUGUAUCCCACUUCUCCCGAGGCUCCAUCACAUGCCACAUGCCAGUCACCAUAAUUAGUGAGAGUUAGAAGGAAAACUCACAGUACAGUUAGGAAAUGUACAGCAUUAUACAUAAAUAAAAGAUUAGUGCUCCCUAGUGCUCUUGUCUCUUCUCUUUCCUCCCCACAGACCAAUAACAGUGUUGAAUUCUGAUGAAGCAAAGCAUGGUUCAACCUCAGGCAUUUUGUGAGGCAGAAAGCAAUUAAUCGGCAUUAAAGUGAUACAUAACAACAUACUUUUUUUUUUCUGGUGGGGAAACGGUCAACUAAAUAGUUAACUUCGGCGCUAUGAACACAUUUUAACCAGAAAUUUACAUUCUUACUUCAUUUGUCAUUCACCACUGUAAAAAAAACUUCUACCUGAUUCAUCUAAGCCUUCAAAGAUGGUUUUAACUCUAACCUGCCUAGACAGUCUAUGGAAGCUGAAGGAUAAAAACAGGCCUAAUAUUAAAUGCAUGCUUAAGUGUUUGCUGAAAUGAGAGCUUGGAUUAAAUUCCGAUUGGGUGAUAAAUUGCAGUAGGAGAAAAUACAGUAGAUGUUUUCACCCAUGAUUCUCCAGUCAACAGCAUGAAACAGAGAAUAUUACAUUGCGCCUCCUGUAAGAACUAAUGAAGCCUAAUGCAGUUGCUCAUUUGUUUGUUUGUUUGUUUGUUUCCUGGAAGCACAGACAGAUGCAGGGAAGGAGAGAAAUAAAAGGGAAAUACUGAUCCAAAAUCCUAUCCGUACAUGAUGCUUUUGUUUCAGUUUUGUAAAAUUUGUGCCUUCUGAUGUCUGGGCACACCUAGCGAGAAAAUAUCAAAGAAAUUCAACAAUUUUCUGGCUUGAUUAUCGAAAAUGCUAUGUUGAAAGAACCUAUGAGGUGAGGCACAGCAAGACGGACAGUGUGCCUACAUCUUUCAAGUUUACAACUGUCAAAUUUGUUAAACUAUGCUAUUUUUAGUGAAAUUACAAUUUGGAACUGGCACAUUGAUUCCACACAGUUGGAGCCUGCUUCAAUGCCAGUGAACAUACUUUGAUUUAUUGCUCUUUUAUUCAGGUCAGGAACCAUAACCUUGGGUGCAGCCAACUCAUCGGUCUCUGUGCUUGAGACAAGAGGUGAAUAUGGCCUUUAGAAUUAAAACAGUUUAUGCUAUGAGGGAGAAGAUGACCUGAAACAAAUUUUCUGUAAUUAGCUAUAACUAAAUUUGCCUGCAACUUAAUGAAACAGACAACAGGAUAGGAAAAGAGAGUUGGUUAUUAUUAAGGAAAAUGAAAUCUGGAAGUUGAGAAUGAGCUUAAAUAAAAAAAAAAAAAAAAAAAAAAACAACCAAAAGAAAACAGAUAACCACCAAGAUAAUCAUUUCUUAGAUAAAUGGGGACUGGAAGAAUUUUAAGGAGGUGUCACUAGAAACACCGUAAGUAUCUUGAAGUAAGACCAGAAAACAAUAAACAUCUGACAAUAUUUAAUUUCUCUCAUCCAUUCAACCUCAGUUCAAAUGUUACUUGUGCAUUCUCUAUACUUUGAUCAAUAAUGUACCAGUAUGUGAAGAACAAGCAACAUCAUCUGCACUCAAACAAAGAAAAGAAAACACAGUAAAGUUGAGGGAGGUGCUAAGAAGGAGAAGAGACAUGGUCCUUGAAAUGCCCUUUCUCAAAAUUAGGAGGAGAAAGAUGGCAGUUACACAAGAAAAAUUAGAAACGUAAGCAUCCAUUGCUUCCUUCAAAACCAACACAUUUCAUUUGAAUCUUCUGAAGACCUGUAUAAUAACAGGAGGCGUUUACUGCACUGUGCUGAGUACAAGAACUGUCUCCAUUAGUGCUACUAGGAGACAAUGAAAGGAAAUUCAACCUUUUUUGCAACCUGACAAAUCACUAACAGUCCCUCUCAGUCUGAUGGUGGCUAUGUUUGAAAAGCCUAAUGUUAUGACAGAUGUCAAGGAGAAGCAUAUAAAAAAAAAGGCAAUCUUAAAACAAAAUCCAUGAAAAUAUGUAACUUGUAAACCUGGCACUAUUCCUUUAAAGUGAAAACAAUUAAGCACCAUUUUAAGCAAAGUAGCCAGAGGGAAUGACAGAAAUCAAAUAUUUUUAUUUCCAGAUUAAGUAACAUUAAGAGAAGAAAAACACAAAACACAAAGAAUAAAAAGGAUUGGUUCUGCAUUGCUAAACCAUAAGGGACAAAAAACAGUGUUGGCAUAACAUUUUUCAUUAACUACAGUAAAAGCAAAACGUACAUAUCAGUGUUACACAUCCUCUUCUUGCCUAAGGCUCUGAUUAAGUUCCCCAAACUUCUUUUGCUCUACAGCUUUUAAUGCACCACCACAUAUUUUUCUGCUAUCAUUGAACAUGUCAGAGAAAUAUCUCUGCAGCACACUAAAUCUAGGUUAAGAAUCAUGGAAACAACAAAUUUUUUUUUCUUACUUGAGAUAAAAAAGCGGCGAUGGUAAGGGAUUUUUUCUAGUUAACUACAUCCGUAUCUGAGAAAUAACAGCCAUGGUUUUGUUACAGCCACAAGUACUCAGGUCACCCAAAGUAAUUGGUGGGUAAUGGCCGCUUGGAGAAUUUAUUUUGCAUAAGAAACCGUCCUGAUACGAAUUGGUACAAGUGGCAUGGCCUCUUCCCAUAUAAAUUCCUUUCAAUUUCUGGUAUAUGCUAUAUGUGCUUAAGGGAAUACAGCAGAGGAAUAUGCAGUCUCUGGAAAUUUACUGAACCACAAUAAGAAAGAAUAGUUCCUUAAUUUUUCACCUCACUGCAUCUCCGAACUGUACAACACUUCCUUGACAGAAUUCCCUUUUCUUUACAAAAGGCCAUAACAUUUACAGUCCACAAUAACUGCUGGGUUGUGACAUCAGUCUUUGUGAAGGCAGGAAAACAGUACUCCUGACACAGACAUCCAGACUGGUGAAGACUGAACAGUUACUGGUUCACACCUAUUUGGAUAACAACAUACGUGCAUACAUUCAGGUGCUCAUAACUUCUCCCUCCUCUUGUUUCUAAAACAGGAAUUUUUUCUUCCAUGUUGUUUAGGAUCCACAGAGGGGAAAGGAAAGCCGUAUAAUGAGAUGCAGUAGAGUGCACAUAGAAAUAAUAUAGAGUAUAUAGAUAAUAUGGAUGUAAUAAAAGAAUAAAAACUGCUAACAAACUUCCCUUUGCAAGCAAGAUUUCCACUGUGCAACACACAAAUAGAACAGUACCUACUUCACCCUCUCCAGCCUCAUGAACUUUUGGGAAGUGGGGUAAUAUUUCAGUAUUAAUAAAAUAAGAUCAGCUGUUAAACUGAUACAGAAAUCAUCUUUGGGCACUAGCAAGCCAAAUUUUCCUUGCAGCAUGAAGGAAGAAAUUUUCAUCAGUUUAAAAAUGAUGUUUUGUGUAUUUGACUUACACAGAUACUCCCUUCACAAAGAUACAUGCUUCCUAACAGAGGAGCAAACUGCAUCUAAAAUUUCCUCCUCCUCCUCCACAGGACAUUACAGAGCAGCUGCAAAAACUGGGUUUAUCAAGUUCACAUACAAAUAGCCACCUUGGAGGAAAGAUGGCACAUGGAUCUCCUCCCUCAGCUCCUCUCAGCAGCCCAGAGGUUGCCUGCAGUACUGGGACAGCUGCUGAUAGGUGGGCAGCUGAUGAAUGACACAUGCUUAGAGGGGAAAUCCAUGGAAAGAUAGGAAUGAUCUGCAUUUUUCACCAAAUUAAAACUAAGGGGAAAAAAAAGACGCAUCAACUACCGAAUGCUGAAAUCUAACUGAACUGCUGAGCAUACCCUUUAAGUGAUAUUUCUAUAAACAGCUUGGAAAGCCAAUAAGGCACGCGAGAAAAUUUACUAUUAUUUUAGACUUUUGCAGACAAACUUGUUCUAAAGGCAUUUACAUAGGUGUGGAGAUUGAUGUAAGAAUACUGAGCCGUGCACUUCGUUUUAUAUUUCAAACCUUGACUGACUUUUUCAGGCACCAUUAAUAUCUCCUUUAUGUACUGAGGUUUGCGUGAAGCAAAUGUACAAUCUGUGCGCAUUGUCAGACUUAAAACCAUUGAGAUAAUGCCUUGGGAGAGAGGUCCACAAAUAAGCGGUCACUCCUACCAGCAAUAAGGUUUAUGCUUAAGUGAGGUUUCUACUCUGCACCCCUCCCUGCAGAAGCAGAGGACCAAACACAAUUGUGCUUGUAGUGAUCAAAAAGAAGUAUAGGUAUUUUCAGCAUUUUUAUGCCAGCAACCCAGUUAGCUCUUAAAUGAAUGAACCCAAGCAAUUCGUGCAAGGAGCUCCAUCAUCUGACACAGCUGCAUUGAUAUCCAGGUUAGAACUCCAGAACUAAAUAUUUGCAUUAUAUCUGUGAUAUUAGAUCCUCACCAAGCCUCCUGGAGGCUGAAAAUUAUUAUGUUGUUAUAUUUAUUCAUAUCUCUGUAUUGCUAAAAUCUGCCUGGAAACAAUGCGGAGACACAAGAACAAAAAAAAAAAUUCUGCAUUUCAAACCCAUUCCAAAGUCAAAAUAGUAAUAAUAGCUUUUUUUUUGGAG